ACGAGGCGCAGUGAACACAGUGCGUCGCGCUCGUGCAGGUGGUGCAGUUCGGAGCGCAGGGCUCGCACGUGCUUCUCACCGAGUGGUAGCGUGACUGCGGGCAGCUUUCCACACACUCACCGCCGAGCAGGUAAUUUUUCCAUUCCUGAGGUGGUACUGAAACUACCUCUGCUGCAGCUGGUGCAUUUGUCAGGACCCUCAUCAUUACAUUCGUGACAUGUAUGAUGGCAGCGAUGACACUGCCCAUCCCUUUCAUACUUUCCAGACUCACACUGUAUUACACAGCGUCCGUCAUCAAAGAACCUGCAGAGGAAGCAAAACAGAGCAGGAAGAGGAGAGAAGAAAGAAAAAGUACAGCAGACGAUUGGGCAGUGGACAGGAAGUGAUGCAGAUCAGGUAGCAGGAAACAGGUUUUAAAUCCAGUAGAUGUGUCGAAGUAAGGGGUGUCCAUUUAUGAUUUGGAAUCCAUCAAAAGGUGUGGAAAAAAAGAUCAUAGGGAGGAGAAGGAGAACAAACAUUAAGAAACUGAUCAGCAAUCAUAGCAACAUAUCUGGGCAUAAUUUUUACAGUGCUUUCAUGAGGAUGAGGUUUUAUAAUUGCUGUUGCUUUUACUGUGCAUUUUAUGAGUAUUAUAUAUAUAGAAAUAUAAUCAAUGGAAUGGUUCACUGUAAAAAUUUUCCCUUUACAAUUAUUACUUUAUGAACCUCUAUCAGUUUGGGAUUAUUUGUAAAAAAAAAAAAAAAAAAAAAAAAAAGAAUGGACAAAUUUGAUCAAAAGGAAAAAAAAAUUAUAAAGUACAAGUACAUUUAAUUACCAUGCAUUUUAAAAUAAAAUAAAUCAGUAGAUCAGACCUUAGAGAUAAUAAUUAUAGAUAUAAUUAAAGAUAGUAAUUUUAGGACUCUGGACUGUAAUUACUAACAUCAGACAGCAGCAAAACCCAAUGUAAGUGGGAACACAUUUAAUAGAAGGAGAAGGCUUCAGCGCCAAAGUCUGGACUUAAAAGUGAGUGAACAUAAGUGAAUAAGCUAGUACUCACCAUCUUUGCAGAUAGUGCUGACGAUACACACACCAUUUUCUAGGUUAUAUCCAUUCACACAGGCACUGCAGUUUCUAUCACCUGGACCUGUGCAUGUGUAACAUGUAGGAUCACACCUGGCAGAGGACCCAGAACAAAGAAAUCAAACCUUUGAGUAAUGGGCACACCUUUAAUUACUGAAUAAAGCUUCACUGUAUACUUAGUUAAGCUUGGUGGACUACUGACUUGCG